CAAUAGCGUAUAUUAAAGUUGUUGCAGUUAAAAGCUCGUAGUUGGAUUUCGGAGUGGGCCAGUUGGUCCGCCGCAAGGUGUGUUACUGACUGGUUUGCUCUUCUUCGCAAAGACUGCGUGUGCUCUUGAGUGAGUGUGCGUAGAAUUUACGACGUUUACUUUGAAAAAUUAGAGUGUUCAAAGCAGGCUAUUGCUUGAAUACAUGAGCAUGGAAUAAUGGAAUAGGACUUUGGUCCCAUUUUGUUGGUUUCUAGGGCCGAAGUAAUGAUUAAGAGGGACAAUUGGGGGCAUCCGUAUUUCGUUGUCAGAGGUGAAAUUCUUGGAUUUUUGGAAGAUAAACUUAUGCGAAAGCAUUUACCAAGGAUGUUUUCAUUAAUCAAGAACGAAAGUUAGGGGAUCGAAGACGAUCAGAUACCGU
rnacentral:rRNA from 1 species